UGUCCUACGGGACGCAGCAGUAGGGAAUUUUCGUCAAUGGGCGCAAGCCUGAACGAGCAAUGCCGCGUGAACGAGGAAGGUCUUCGGAUCGUAAAGUUCUGUUGAAGGGGAAAAAGAGCGGAGAGAGGAAAUGAACUCCGAUUGACAUUACCCUUCGAGGAAGUCGCGGCUAACUACGUGCCAGCAGCCGCGGUAAUACGUAGGUGGCAAGCGUUGUCCGGAUUUAUUGGGCGUAAAGCGAGUGCAGGCGGUUCAAUAAGUCUGU
rnacentral:rRNA from 1 species